CAUUUGUUUCUACAACACAAGAUUAUGAAAGUUUCAGACUUGGAUUUCUUCCCCUAAUCCUCACACCCACCUUUUAGAUUUCCUUUUAAACCCUGGUGACCAGUCCUGAGAUGUCAUCCCCAGCUGAGCCAAAUGAGGACAAACCCCAUCCCACAUGGCUUGGUGUUGAAGAGAAUGAAAUGUUGGUAAACAAAUCUGAAUUAUCCUCAGAUCUUAUGAAAGGAACAGUCAGACCUAAACUCAGAAUAAAAUCUGGGUUGCAGGAACGGGGAGCACAUGGGGAGGGUAGGGGGGAGUAGAAACAGAGUUCUGUAUUUACAGCAUUGCUUGUGAGAGAGAGAAGCCUCAAAACACCAUUUGUGUGUAGAACUUGCUCAAUUGCAACUAAACAAGAAGGCAGUUGGUUCCAAUUUCCUUUUUCUGCAACCAGCCUCUGUAAUUUGCUGUCUGCAAC